CGCCGACAAAAGUAAAGACAAAGUAAAGAAACGGGACGGUUGUGGAUGGGUGGUUGGGAGAGGAGGAAGAGAGGAGAGGAGGGAGGGUAUCAAGCAGUAUUUUUCUCUCUGUAUCUGUCUGGCUUGGGCGUUUAAUUUAAGAUGCCUUGGGGAGCGGAUCUCUUCCCUUCUCUCUGUCCUUUUCCUGUCUCUUCCUCAUCGCCUUCUUCCCUCCACCUGCCUCCCCAUGUUCUCCCUCCCCCUGCAGCAUCACAGCCAGAGCGGCCAGUGUUGGGGCUGGCAUCCCACUUGGCUGAGGUCUGUCACCAUGGUCGCCGUGCUCCUUUCGGUGGGCUUUGCCCACGGAGGACAUCACGCUCAUCAUCGCCGUGGACUGGUUCCUUGACCGGCUUCGCACAAUGACCAACGUACUGGGAGACUCAAUUGGAGCAGCCGUCAUCGAGCACUUGUCUCAGCGGGAGCUGGAGCUUCAGGAAGCUGAGCUCACCCUCCCCAGCCUGGGGAAACCCUACAAGUCCCUCAUGGCACAGGAGAAGGGGGCAUCCCGGGGACGGGGAGGCAAUGAGAGUGCUAUGUGAGGGGCCUCCAGCUCUGCCCCCCAAGAGAGGAGAGAAGGGGCCUGGGGAGGGGAGUCCUGGGGACACAUCUGCCACCCAGCUGACCGUGGGCUGAACACACAUGUUCUGCUUGACUCGUUUAAGGGGGAGGGAAAAGUGUAAUAAAGGAGCAGGAAUGAAAGGUGUACAAGGUCUCUGUUUCUCUCUGAGCACAUGCUGAGGGCUUGAAGGACAGCGUGAGCAAGGGAGGGAAAGAAACGUUUCUCCUAGGUUUGGGGAGAAGGGAAGCUUCAGCUUCAACAAGAAGAGGGGUCAACUCAUGUUUCUUAUAGUCUCAAAGAGUGGCGGAACUGAAGAGGAUAAAGAAAAACCAUUAUUUCUCCUAAUAAAACAAUAGCCAUGGUCUCUGUGUCAGGGGUCCCCCAAGACCACCUUUAGGUUCAGCAAUUCACUGGAAAGGCUCAUAGAAUUCAGGGCCGGACACGGUAGCUUAUGCCUGUAAUCCCAGCACUUUGGGAGGCUGAGGCGGGCAGAUCACCUGAGGUCAGGAGUUCAAGACCAGCCUGGCCAACAUGGUGAAACCCCGUCUCUCCGAAAAAUACAAAAAUUAGCUGGGCAUGGUGGUGGCUACCUGUAAUCCCAGCUACUUGCAGGGCUGAGGCAGGAAGAAUGGCUUGAACCCGGGAGGUGGAGGUUGCAGUGAGCUGAGAUCGCACCAUUGCACUCCAGCCUGGGUGUCAAGAGCGAAAGUCUGUCUCAAAAACACAGAAACAAAACAACAACAAAAAAAUACGCCAGACACAGAAAAACACACUACAUGUUCUCACUUGUAUGUGGGAGCUGAAAAAACUGAACUCAUGGAAACAGAGUAGAAUGAUGGUUACCAGAAUCUAGGAGGGGUAGUAGGGAGGGAGGAUAAAGAAGGGAUAGUUAACAGAUACAAAAAUACGGUUAGAAGGAAUAAAAUCUAGUAUUUGGUAGCACAAUAGGGUGACUAUAGUUAACAAUAAUUUGUUGUAUAUUUCAAAAUAACUAAAAAAGUGGAAUUGGAAUGUUUAUAACGCAAAGAAAUGAGAAAUGCUUGAAGCGAUAGAUACCCCAAUUACCUUGAUUUGAUUAUUAUACAUUGUACGUUUGUGGAAAAGUUUUGCAUGUACUCCAUAAAUUUGUACAACUAUUAUGUAUCCAUAAAGAUUAGGAAUAAAAAUUUAAAAACUCAGUCAACUAGAAUUUUAAAAAAUCUAAGAUUAUAAAUGAUCAAAGGAGGUAAACUCAAAAUCUAGUAAAAAUAAAUGCAAGUAAAUCACUAUACAAUGUAUACAUGUAUCAAAUCAUGUCAUACACCUUGAAUGUGUACAAUGGCUAUUCGUCAAUUAUACCUCAGUAAAGCUGGAAAAGAGAGUUACUAUAAAAACAUCAAACACAAAAAGAUCGAGCACGCUCAUUUUCAUGAACAAUCAAAGGAAGUCAAAUUAAAAUAUCAAAGGAAACAAUAAAUCUUACUCACGGGUUUAAUUUAUUUCUGAGGCUGUAGCACCCAAACACAGUUCUUGGUUGGGGAGUGUAAUUCCAGAAGUAAGAAUUUAUGUCAGAGAAUUCCUG
rnacentral:lncRNA from 1 species